rnacentral:tRNA from 1 species
GAGCGCGUAGCUCAGGCGGUAGAGCAACUGACUUUUAAUCAGUAGGUCAUGGGUUCGAGUCCCAUCGCGCUCACCA